rnacentral:lncRNA from 1 species
GUGGAACUGAAAGCCUUGGUUCCCAGGAGCUCAAGCCCACUGGGACCAACAACAGAACGAAGGGAGUUUGCCUACAAUUUAUGACAAGCAGGCAGCCCAUCUCCAUGGCCUGAGCUGCAUAAUAAGCAGGAAGAUGAAGCAAAAGGGUUGGCCCUCCAGUGUCAGAGAAGAUGAACAAAGCUUAUUAAUGCAUGGUAAUACCAGCGUGAUAUCAGAACAGCUUCCCCCAGCAACAACCCAGUUCUCUCACUGUGAUGAAGUGCUCUGCCUUCUGCCUCAGACUUUAGCCACUUGGGAUCUGCAUUAUUGCCUUGUAAAAUUGAUGGGCAGUGGCACAAUCUCCUAGUUUAAGGAAUUUCUGUUAGCAUUAGCAAAAUGCAAUGGCUUUGCAAUUUCUAAGGGCAUUCCUUGCAAUAGGAAAGUGAAUAAAAAUUGGGCCAGACUGGAACAAUGCCCAUCUCUAAUCCCUGUGGCUCCCCUGCUCAGUCUCCUCCAUGUCAUCAGCAGCAGGUGUGAGCUCAGGUCUCCCAAGGUGGGCAAGUCUUAUUUAUACUUAACCUGAAUGGGGCAAGAGGGGGGAUGUUCAUCUUAGUGGGUCUUUUUCUUUGAUCCCCUGAGGAGGUUAUUCAAGAUCAGAGUCUCUUUUCCUUCCAAACUGCUUGGAGAUGUUUCCCAAUUUUUAAAAUCCAACCUGCUCAAUAGUCUUGUGUCUUAAAAACUAUGCUUCUUUAGAAAGGUGACAGGCAGUGGCAGCUGGAUCUUUCUGGUAGCCAAGUGCUCUGGGGAGAGGAGGGUUGAGAAUGAAUCUGAGCUUUUCCUUCUAAGUCUUUGGAUUUUGAGUAGCCCAAGAUGGCUCUCUUCACCACCAUGUUCUGAAGCAGGGGUGACUAUUUCUCUUCCUGAGGUUGGGGAGCUGAGUAUCACAGUUAGGCAACGGUGGGCCAUGCGCUGGUGAAAUGGAUCAAACAUACAGGCCACGAGGGAAAGCAGGAACAGGCCACAGACAGUCAGACCCAAGGCACAUGCUAUUUUCUGCCUUACUGAAAAGAUGAAACAUAGCUGUAUCCUGGCCGCUUCAACUGGCGGGAAAUGAAAAGUACAGAAAACCCAUCUACAAGAAGUAAAAUCAACAAGCACAAAGGGAGACAGAGGAAAGCUCUGGAGAAGAGCCCUCCUUGAUGUGAGCACAAGGGACCUCCAUGCUCCUACUUCUGCUGGUCUCCAUUUCACCAGGCGCCUCCCUCCGACUUCCAAUUGGCCACAAGCUUCGUCGCUCUCUCUCAAAGCAAUUUUGUGUGUGAGUAUAGUCAGAAGGCUCCAAAGGCAACAUCUGGGUCUGGUCACUGAAGACAGAUGGGCUCCUUCUACUUCUUCUCCCAUCCCCUGGAGGCCUCUGCCAGAGGGUCUCUGCGGUUUCUGCGGGGCCUGGAGAUCCACAUGUAAAAUCCCUGCUGUAACACAGUGCUUUGUGCUCCGGUGGAAAAACAGCGCUGCUGAAAGCCUCUACCCAUGUAUAAUUUAGCAACAUCACCUGGGGCCGCAGGCACAGUUUGGAGGACAAUGUCAUGGGUGCCUCGGGAUCCACACCUAACUGGGGCAUCUCAUGACAAUCGAGGGAAAGGAUAAUGUCUGCUUUGCUCCCUGAAUUGAUAUCUCUCUGCACUGGUGUCACAAUUACAACUGAAAGGGUGUGGCAGAUGCAUGCAACUCUCAGGGAACAGCCUGCAGCAGAACAUCUUGGCAGGGGGAGGACAAGAGCUGGCCAGACACUUCUGGAAGUUCUGGAAGGAGAUGCUGAAGCUCUACCCAUUCCACUGUAAAGGACAACACCAGGAAAUCCCAGUUAAUAUGGUUUAACCUCCUAAUCAUGCACCGACUAUCCCCCACCAUUGCAUGGGAGGCAGAGAAGAAUAAAACACUGUGCACAUGUGUCCAAAUAGAAUCAAGGGCACUUUUUAAUUGCUUUUUUUUUUUAAACUCAAUGUGUAGAGUAAGUUUUUCACUGGCCUGAUCAAAAGAAAACCAGGGACAGAAAACUAACUGGCUGUGCAAUGCAGACCCCUGCCUGAAGAAGGGACUUCAGGUGGGAAACUUUGCAGAAAGCCCUGUGCAAAGCUGGCUACAACUGCACCCCUCAGAGUAUGAGGAAAAAGGAAAAAAAACCACAACAAGUUCAAGUGAAGAGGAAAGGCCCCUUGAAGGCCUACCAGCCAGCUCCCAAGUGCUCUUCCUUAUAUGUCAAUAUCUUGGUGCUGUUGCAGGACAUUGGAGCAGGCUCAGUGUAACCUCACCCCUGCUGGCAAGAGGCUCCCUGGCCCCACCUCCAGACCCGCCCCAGGCAGGAAGAAGAGCACCCAGGUCUUGGGGCAUGCUGAUGGAAAGGCAGCAUUCCUAGAAUAGGAAAGCAACUGACUGAGAAGCCUCUGUCCCCUUGAAUUAGAGUUUAUUGGUAGGAAAUAAGAGGCUGAAGCCAACUGCGGGCUUCACAGUGAUCCUCACGCCCAGAUGGGCUGACCUAGGAGCAGUAUAGGCUCUACACACCAUUCUGCUGUCAAGUGGUCAAAAUGAACGCAUCAGAAGGUCAAAUUCUGGCUCGGCCUCCAAGUGCAGAGACAGCAUUAACUUCGAGAGUAUUGCUGGCAACCAUUAUAACCCUCUAAUUGCCUAUGCAAUGCACAAGAUUUUAAAAUAUAUGUAUUGCACAAACAAUAUUGUGAAACAACAGAAAUCAACUCUCUCAUCUUAAAAAAACCUUAAUACGAGGUUCCAGGAGGGGAUUUAAAAAAUGAUAUGGCUGUUCUUUGCUUCAGGCAAUAAACAUGCUACUGAAAACCUAUGUGUAAAUACAGUCUUAUGCCAACUAAGUCCUUCUUAAAAAUGCACCAGAAAACAGGCUCUGUUUUAAGCACUUAAUUGUAUUUGCUCAUUAAGUCUUCAGAAGCUCUGGAAGUAGAUUUUAUUAAGAUCUUCAUUUUGCAGGUAGGAAAUUGCAACACAGAAAUGUUCAGUAACUUGGACAAGGUUGCAGAGCUGAGUUGGAACAGGGUGCCCAGGCCUCUGAGCCCACAUCCCUAACCAUGGGCUACACUGCCUCCCAAUGGACUGAGAGUGAGUUAGUUCCCUGGCAAAACCUGCCCCUCCCAAGCAUGCUGUUUAUAAAGAUGGAUGAUCACACAUGGUCACAUUUAAUAUCAACAACAUCCCAUACUUAAAUCUUUGAAUGAAAAGAUAUGACUAUUUCCUGAUAAAGCAUCACACAGCUAAGACAAAGAGCUGAAUGCAUAAAGAAGUUUCCCCAUAUCCAUUCGCCUUUCUUUUCUUGAAAAGCCUCAAAUAGAUUUGGGCAGCCAUACAGCCAAUUAAAAAAAUACUUUCCUGCAGAGGAUCUACAAAAAAUGUCAGCUAACAUCAUACUUAAAGGUAAAGGCUGAGUGCUUUCCCCUUAAGUUCAAGUAGAAGAUGAGGAUUCUGUUAUCAGCACUUCCUUUCAACACCAAAAUGGAGAUUCUAGCCAGGGCAAUAAGGCAAGAAAAGGAAAUUAAAGGAGAUUAAAAAGGAAUAAGUAGGCCAGGCACAGUGGCUUAAACCUGCAAACCCAGCACUUUGGGAGGCCGAGGAGCUCAGAGGGCUGAGGUGGGAGGAUUGCUUGAGCCUGGGUAUACUGAGCCAAGAUCAUGCCAUUGCACUCUAGCCUGGGUGACACAGUGAGACCCUGUCUCAAAAAAACUCCAAAACAAACAAAAAGGAGUAAGUAAGACUGACUCCACUCAAAAAGACAUGAUUGUCUAUGUAGAAAAAUCUUAAGAAAUAUUUAUUUAUUUAUUUAUUUUUGAGACAGGGUCUCACUCCUGUCACCCAGGCUUGACUGCAGUGGCAUGAUCAUGGCUCACUGCAGCCUUGACCUCCUGGGUUCUUGCAAUCCUCCCAACCUCAGCCUUCUGGGUAGCCGGGACUACAGGUGCACAACACCAUGCAUGGCUAACUCUUCUGAAUUUUCAGUAGAGAUAGGGUCUUGCUGUGUUGCUGGAUCUGGUCUCAAACUCCUGGGCUCGAGUGAUCUGCCAGCAUUGGCCUCCCAAAGUUGCUGGAAUUACAGGUGUGAGCCACUGUGCCCAGCCUAAGAAAUAUAUAAUAAAGCUGUUAGAGAAAUAGGAGCACAGGAGAACCAAGGUGACAUCAUUUUAAAAUCAACUCCAUCUUAAAACUAGCAAGGCACAUUCCUUGCCAGUCAUGAACCAUGGUCAUAAGAUGUUUACAGUUGAGAAAACAGCUUAAAUGUACCUGAAAGAACACAAUCUUACAACAAAGGAAAGUCCAGAUGUCCCAAUAACCAUAACGAUAUAUGAUUUUAAGAUAAUUAUAUUUAUGCUUUGAGGUACUUAUUCAAUAAAAAAAACAAGGGGCCAAGUGCGG